UGUCUCUCUCCCUAAGGCCUUCUGUGGUGAAUGCCACAGUUCCAGAACCACCACAGCUUUUGUUUCACCUUUUCACUAAUCUCUACAUGCUGGUUUGGAUCAGAAUUUGUAUGUUUGCCUGGAGAAAUUGGCCAGGGUUUCAGUGAAAUGGGAAGGAUGUCAGGAUGGGAGAUUUGUGAUUGGAGAUGCAAGAGGCCUGAGAGGAUGUAGGUACUGAAAUAUGUGUAUGAAUAUGGGUCUGAUGAGCCAUAAUAAAACUGAUGUAGGAUGGGGUAGAUGUUGUGUGUAGGAUCAGGGUGCUGACCAGCAAAACUAGGCAUGGGAGGGAAUCCAGUUUAUUAGAGGGGAUUAAUGACUUUAACCACCUACUUAACCACCUACAUUUAUUAUUCCUUUUAUAUACAGCUUUAAUCCUUCAGUUAAGAAAGAAGUAGGUAACUAAGUGUACCAAAGAUUUGUUUUUCUGCAAGUUUCAAUUGGGGCUGAACUGCCAAGGUCAUCCUAGCCUUGUUUGAAGCCUUCUUUGUGAUUUAUCUCUUUUUCUUCUCAUCCUCCAUUUUCAAGACUCCAGUACAAAAUAGUAUUCAGAAAGUUCCUUCAUCCACCCAGUUCAGACUUCUGGAUGUUUACCUUUCAUUUGAUCAGUGAUUUGUGUAGUACUUUAGAGUGGAGAAUGAUGUUUCUCCAUAGCAGAGCUGAACUGUUUGUUGGUUACAGCUGACGUAAGGCCAGCAGUAACAUUCACCCACCUUCACUGUCUUGUCCAGCCCUUGGCAGCACCCGCUUUUUUUGGAGUCUUAAGUCUGAAUCUUUUCUUAUGCCAUCACAGUGGAACUAUGUGGUGAUGUGUCCUCUCUCAAGUCUCCCUCAAGCACUAUAAGGCCAACAAAGGCUGUAGUUCUGGAACUCUUGCAUUCACCACUGAGAAGAGUUGAUAUGUGUUAAAACUAUCCUAGCAAAAAACACUUUUGUUAACAGCAGUGUGAUCUGACAGAGUCUGUGGUCAAGAUGCAGGAUUACUGGCAGAAUGGAGAGUGAGAAGAAUUACCCUUGAACAUUUCAUGCCUGUGCAGAAUUCACCUAGUGUGUGGUGAUGCCUUUCUGACACAUCCUUGAAAAUAAUAUCCAAUGAUAACAACACUGAGUACCUGCACACUUAAUCAAAGAAUGGGAUGCCAGAAUGGGAUGGUUUCUUGGUAGGCCCCAUGUCACCUGAAAAAAUAGCAUUUUCUGUGUGAAUACCAGGGAAAGGAGACAUUAGAGAUCUGUGGAUCCAGGGAUUGCAGCCUUCAGCAGCCUCUGCUAUUCCCUAAAAAGCAUGCAAUGAUCAUUGAAGCUACAGGGAAAGGGAAAAGAACUGACAGUGAAUUAGACAGUGGUAGUGAUAAGAAUAUACAAGACUUGCUGUGCUGCAUAAAACUCCUGUGAUGAUAAGGGAGAUAUCUGCAGACUGAUUCCACUUUUGUCCCAGGAAUGCUGUCUGAAAAGCCGAAGGGAAAAAGGCCAGAAUAUAUGAAAGUGUGCUGUCUAGAGUGGCAGAAAGCUGUGCCCACACUUGGUCUCAGUCACUGCAACAAGAGCUAGCCUAGAUGACCUCUUCUUUCCUUCCCCUCAACUGCAUAUAGCAGGGCAUCCUAGAAGACUGAUACUUGUGGUACUGAAGCAUUUGAGCUUGUGGCACUUGGACAAUGCUUCUUUCUAAGAAUAAGGAACUACAGAGAUUAUCUCAGCAUGUGCUCCUGUGAACAGAGGCAAAUAUUUGUGGUAUUGAUUGAUAUAAAAAUUUGGGCUAUGAAAAAUUCUGUUGGGUCAUUGCAAACCUUAACAAGUAAAGUGCAAAUGCCACAAUCUAUUAUCGGUGUUGACCUGGCCACUGAUUUCUAGUCAUUCUGCCCUGAAGGAAAAAUUAGUGGAGUACUUAUUGGAUGGAGCCUCAUUACUCUGUCAUCCAAGGGAUGUUGCCUUUUCAAAAACAUACUCAGGAUUGUAAUUCGUAGAAGUUCUGUGGUUUGCCCAUCUGUACUCUACUGUUAGCUGUGAACACAGUUGCAGACUUAACACCACUAUUAUUAACAGCUAUUCGGGAAGUUUUCCCGUCUUAUAUUCCUAGUCUUCACACAUGGAUGACUUCAUUUUUUUGGGGUCGUUUCUGAUAUGCCCAUUUCUUGGUUCUUUUUGUGAGUGUCCAAUACAAAAUUAUAUUGAGUGUAUUUCACAGUAACAUUAGAUAGUAAGCUUGACUGCAAGUUUGUAACUCAGGUUUUCAGCACAGCCACAUCUAAAUAAAAAGCCUGGAUGGGCAUCAAUAAUUGCUAUUGCUGUGUUUCAGCAUUUACUACAAUUUCAAACAGUAUGGUUUCUUGUUCUUGAAUCACAGUUGGGUGGAACCCUGGGCAGCCUGGUCUAGUAUUAGAAAUGAAGGCUGGUGGCCAUGCCUGUAGCAGGGGGGUUGGAGCUUGAUGAUCCUUGAGGUCCCUUCCAACCCAAGCCGUCCUAUGAUCUGUCACAUUUGUAGGGAAUUGAAGGCAUUUAAGAAAUGAAAAUAUAAAGAUACUUCAACCUCAGCUUGCGUCAGUCCAGUUCAGUUUUUAACUGUCUAGAUUCAUGCAUCUCCUCUUCUCUAAGCUUCAGUGAUAAGGGUGUAGGUAGGUUUUAUGCUUUUUUCUGAGUUAAGAACAGAGUUUGCCUUCUCACUGUAAGGGAGAUGAGCAUUCCUCUCCCUGUCCCCAUCUAAAGGAGCUCCUCCGUUGCUCUCCAAGACCUUCCCAGAGAGUUAACAUUUCUCUUCUGGUCAUAUUGUAACCUCUCUCUGUAAUAGUAUUCACACUUCUAGGGCUUAGCUAUAACUACACCAAACCCACCUAGGGUAUAGAAGGAUACUCUUCUGGCGUGGAACUUGGAAGUGAGAGACUAAACACCAUACCUGAUUAUUUUGGUCAUUAAAUUACUGGAACUCAUUGCAGUAUUGUAUACAGAAUUAGCUGCACAGAUGCACACACAAAUAUUCACCUGCAGUGAAAUAAGCAAAUCAAACAUACUUACUCCUGUGAGGAAAAGAUGCCAUAUACACACUAAAUUAGACUUUGAUACCGCAGGCUGUGCCCCUCAGGAACUAUCUGACAAGCCCAAAAGAGCUCUUAAGCAAAGUGGCCCUGCAGACAUACACGUAGGGCUUCUCUGCCAGAGCUGGCAGAUGGCAGAGCAAUAGAUCUAAAAGAUGCCUGGAGGAAACAGUACAACGGAUGCAGCAACAGCAUGAACAAUACAUUGAAAUAACUAACAGGGAAAAAAAGAAAAGGAAAAAGAAAAAAGCUCCAAACUGAUAAAGAUCUUUAAUUUAAAAACUGAGUAAGUUUAUUCAUUGGAAAGUGCAACAAAAUACCCUAGAGAUAGAGCAUUCCACUCCAACAAUUAAAAUUGCAUUAAAAAGCCGAUAGGAAGGUCUGAGUCUUAAAGAG